rnacentral:rRNA from 1 species
CCUACGGGUGGCAGCAGUGAGGAAUAUUGGUCAAUGGGCGCGAGCCUGAACCAGCCAAGUCGCGUGAGGGAAGACGGUCCUAUGGAUUGUAAACCUCUUUUGUCGGGGAGCAAAAGACGCCACGCGUGGUGUUCCGAGAGUACCCGAAGAAAAAGCAUCGGCUAACUCCGUGCCAGCAGCCGCGGUAAUACGGAGGAUGCGAGCGUUAUCCGGAUUUAUUGGGUUUAAAGGGAGCGUAGGUGGAUUGUUAAGUCAGUUGUGAAAGUUUGCGGCUCAACCGUAAAAUUGCAGUUGAAACUGGCAGUCUUGAGUACAGUAGAGGUGGGCGGAAUGCGUGGUGUAGCGGUGAAAUGCUUAGAUAUCACGAAGAACUCCGAUUGCGAAGGCAGCUCACUGGACUGCAACUGACACUGAGGCUCGAAAGUGUGGGUAUCAAACAGGAUUAGAUACCCCAGUAGUC